rnacentral:rRNA from 1 species
UACAGAGGUCUCAAGCGUUGUUCGGAUUCAUUGGGCGUAAAGGGUGCGUAGGCGGCGCGGUAAGUCGGGUGUGAAAUCUCGGAGCUUAACUCCGAAACUGCAUUCGAUACUGCCGUGCUUGAGGACUGGAGAGGAGACUGGAAUUUACGGUGUAGCGGUGAAAUGCGUAGAUAUCGGGAAGAACACCCGUGGCUAAGGCGGCUCUCUAGUACGGUACUGACGCUGAGACGCGAAAGCGUGGGGAGCGAACAGG